GGGGGCGCGCAGGGGACACCCGCACAAGAUGGAGGCGGCGGUAGCGGUGGUGGCAGCGGCGGCGUAGCCCGGCCGAGCGUCUGAUCCUUGAGGUCCAGCUGGCCUCCUGAGGUGUGAUGAGGUGUGACAAGGUGGAACGAUAGCGAGAGAGGGACCAAGAGGAACCAGCAAGGCUAAAGCUGUGUUUGCAGCUGAGAUAAGUGGUGAGGUAGAAGCUGCAGAGGCUCCUACACUUACUUUUUAUAGAGCACAGCACAUACUUGGGCAGAUGUAUGCUCCACCUCCCACUCGAAUCGUGCAGAACAUUGCAUAAUAUAAUCUGAAUUCAUAGAAUUAACAGAAAAGGGAAAAAAAUGAAUGCUAUUUUCCCUCAUUCCCAGUCCAACUAUAGAUCAUUUUGCCUCUUAACCUACGUUAAGUGUGGAAUCUGAGAGCAGCCAGUCUAUGACAAGUCGGUUGUGAAGUACACAGGGUGGACCAGAGCUUGUUGAAGCCUUAAAAGCAUGAGAAAACACGUUACUGUUGAGCAGCCUUACCUGCCAACCUCUAAGUAUUCCUUUCUGUGUAUACCUUUUAAAGAAUCUACUGUUACUGUAUCAGAACUCCAAAAAGAAUAGAUUCUGUUCUUGUCCUGCAUGAAAAGUAAACUAUCAAAGAUUCAAAGUGCCAGUAGUCUCACUGAUUAAUGAAGGUCUCAUCUAACCCCAGGAGAACAGUGCAACAGCAUGGUCUGUAGAUAAUCUGUAGGUGUUUCUGCUUCCAAGUUGGGAAGCCAGUUAACCUGUACAUUAAAUCAUUUCAAUAAGUGA